AUGGUGUACGAAACCGCAGAAAUGCACGGUGACCAUGAGCUGGUGCUCAAAUCAGCCAUGACUACGGUGAAGCCAGCACUGCCGAUGCACGAGCACCGCCUGCCGCUGUCUAACCUGGACCUGCUCCUGCCAGCGCUCGACGUCAGCGUCUUCUUCUGCUACCUACACCCGGCGCCCACCGCCUCUGCGCUGAAGGAGGCGCUGGCCAAGGUGCUGGUGACCUACUACCCGCUAGCCGGGGAGGUCGUGGCCAACGCUGUAGGGUAA
rnacentral:rRNA from 1 species